GAGAUAUGAUGAUCUUCACACUUGGUUCGUGUUUCUGACUUAAUGAUGAUAGUGACAUUCUGAUCUC